GGCUCUGUGAUGUGCCGCAAACCGGCCUUGUCUUUUCAGUGUAAUGUAGGUAUCCCUGACGCAGCUGGGGCUCUGUGAUGUGCCGCAAACCGGCCUUGUCUUUUCAGUGUAAUGUAGGUAUCCCUGACGCAGCUGGGGCUCUGUGAUGUGCCGCAAACCGGCCUUGUCUUUUCAGUGUAAUGUAGGUAUCCCUGACGCAGCUGGGGCUCUGUGAUGUGCCACAAACCGGCCUUGUCGUUUCAGUGUAAUGUAGGUAUCCCUGACGCAGCUGGUGCUCUGUCAUGUGCCGCAAACCGGCCUUGUCGUUUCAGUGUAAUGUAGGUAUCCCUGACGCAGCUGGUGCUCUGUGAUAUGCCGCAAACCGGCCUUGUCUUUUCAGUGUAAUGUAGGUAUCCCUGACGCAGCUGGGGCUCUGUGAUGUGCCACAAACCGGCCUUGUCUUUUCAGUGUAAUGUAGGUAUCCCUGACGCAGCUGGUGCUCUGUGAUGUGCCGCAAACCGGCCUUGUCGUUUCAGUGUAAUGUAGGUAUCCCUGACGCAGCUGGUGCUCUGUGAUGUGCCGCAAACCGGCCUUGUCUUUUCAGUGUAAUGUAGGUAUCCCUGACGCAGCUGGGGCUCUGUGAUGUGCCACAAACCGGCCUUGUCGUUUCAGUGUAAUGUAGGUAUCCCUGACGCAGCUGGUGCUCUGUCAUGUGCCGCAAACCGGCCUUGUCGUUUCAGUGUAAUGUAGGUAUCCCUGACGCAGCUGGUGCUCUGUGAUAUGCCGCAAACCGGCCUUGUCUUUUCAGUGUAAUGUAGGUAUCCCUGACGCAGCUGGUGGUCUGUGAUGUGCCGCAAACCGGCCUUGUCGUUUCAGUGUAAUAUAGGUAUCCUUGAUGCAGCUUUUACAGAGCUGUCCAAUGGCUGGCCUUCAGCCCCAUCAGCUGUGACAGACGUGCGAACCAACGUUCUAUUUUGGUCCUGGCGUCUCACUGCCAAUGGUGGCCCAGCAGAAUCAGGCCAGCUGGUACGUUUGAUUGCUUCUGCUGGAAAUCCCUCCCUCUGUCUCUGUCUUUGCGAAAUAACAGGCAAAUGUCGAAUGAAAACAUUGCGCUCAGGUGUGCUGAGUUAAAGGAGGUCUUUCAGAGUUUUCACUGUAAUCUUGUUUUAAGCUGUGUGAACAUUCGACUUUCAAAGUAGGUCAGACGAUGCAGGCACUGUGCCCUAACGCAGGGGAGCUGGUGAAUACGCACAUACGCACAUCCGGCACCGAGUAACAGCUGCUCCAUGAAAGCACUGUCUGCAUCAGGACUCCUGGUGGCUCAGCAGGCUUCUGCGACAGCAUCCUCCCUUAAUUAGCGCUCUCUUAAUUUCUUUGUUUAAAUGUGCCAUUUUUGGAAAGGCAUUGGUUUUAAUAACAUGGGUAACUGAGAAAGUCGAGCCGGGAAAUGAGGUAAAAUGACAUCCAACGGAGCUGUGUGUGAGAGCCCGCUGUUCCGUCUCUCGCUUUCUGCUGAAGGUCGCCUCGAUGGCUGAGAUGGCACGUCUUAAUGACUCACUGCUCCUGAGCGUGGAACAAGCACUCUAAUUCCAGGUGCCCUGGUAGGCUCUCCGGGCACGAAGGAACAUGUCGUUCCGGUGACCAACACGGCGUGUUGCACCUGUGACAGGGUCCUGGGCAGGCGUCGGCUCCUGCAUGUGACCCCCUCCAGCGGGCUGGUCGGCUUGCACCGCACUCACACCAUGCACCCGUGACAGGGUCCUGGGCAGGCGUCGGUUCCUGCAUGUGACCCCCUCCGGCGGCCCUGUCCUCACUCGGCACCCUAAAUUGUCUGUCGUUUGCUCAAUUGGCCCGAUUGUGGGGCUUAAUCUGUUGAUGAUACAGUGCCGGCAGCCAAAGCAGCCGCUGGACCGGGCCCAAAGGGGCACUGGGCCUGGGCCCCUUCGAUCCAGCUCUAGUCUACUGCCUCAUUAGUGGCGGCUCAGUGCCUCUUCGAUCCACCUGAAGGAGCAGCGCCUUCGGGCCCGGCACCGGCGUGUGGUGUGGUCCUGCUCCGCACCCUAAUCCUCAGCCUGCUCUCCAUAUUUAUGUAUUACAGAGCACAAGAUGCCGUGUCUUUGUCUUCCAAGUGGCAAAGCAGGCAGUGUGAGUCAGACUUUUAGGAGAGUAUGCCACCUCCCCUGUUUCACCUUUAAUUAUGAAUCUAGUACUGUUAUGCAUGAUCCUAGACGUGACAUUGAAUACCACAUGCUGAGGCUUGGUGUUUGUCAUUUUGCUGUAUGUUCUGAGGCACGUGUCUGUGUGUGUGUGUGGCGGUCUGCUGGCCGUGCUCCAUGCAGGCCUCCCCUUAAGCCCUCCCUCUCCU